rnacentral:rRNA from 1 species
GAUGAACGCUGGCGGCGUGCCUAAUACAUGCAAGUCGAGCGAACGGACGAGAAGCUUGCUUCUCUGAUGUUAGCGGCGGACGGGUGAGUAACACGUGGAUAACCUACCUAUAAGACUGGGAUAACUUCGGGAAACCGGAGCUAAUACCGGAUAAUAUUUUGAACCUCAUGGUUCAAAAGUGAAAGACGGUCUUGCUGUCACUUAUAGAUGGAUCCGCGCUGCAUUAGCUAGUUGGUAAGGUAACGGCUUACCAAGGCAACGAUGCAUAGCCGACCUGAGAGGGUGAUCGGCCACACUGGAACUGAGACACGGUCCAGACUCCUACGGGAGGCAGCAGUAGGGAAUCUUCCGCAAAGGGCGAAAGCCUGACGGAGCAACGCCGCGUGAGUGAUGAAGGUCUUCGGAUCGUAAAACUCUGUUAUUAGGGAAGAACAUAUGUGUAAGUAACUGUGCACAUCUUGACGGUACCUAAUCAGAAAGCCACGGCUAACUACGUG